AAAACAUCUCCUAAGUUUAAUAUUUUAGGUAGAGCCUGCUCACUGAUUUUAAAAGCCGCAGUAUACUGACUGUGCUAAGGUAGCAUAAUAAUUAGCUAUUUAAUUUGUAGCUGGAAUGAAUGGUCUGACAAGAUAAUAACUUUCUUAUUUCUGAAUUAAAUUAAUUAAAGAAUAAAAAAGUUCUUAUUUUAUAGAAAGACGAUAAGACCCUAAAACCUUAUAUGUGUAUUAUAUUUACUGGGGCGGUAGUUUUUAAUCCAAAAAUUUCACUAACAUUAUGAAUGAUUCUGAGUACUCGUAUAAUUCAAAAAGGUACUUUAGGGAUAACAGCAUAAUUUUUAUUUAGAGUCCUUAUCGACAUAAAAGAUUAUGACCUCGAUGUUGAAUUGAUUUAACUCUUUGGGGCAGAUUCUUAAGUAGUAGGUCUGUUCGACCUUCGAAUAAUCACGUGA
rnacentral:rRNA from 1 species